GCGUAGUUUUAAAAGUUAGUGAUAAAGGAUUUCUUCCCCAUUUUCCUCACAUCUCCCACUCUCUCUCCCUCUCUCUUAUUUGUUGUCCCUUUCUUUCUUUUGUCUCAUUUUCCCAUUUUUUUGUUUGUUUCAUUCUUUCCACUUUGGUUUUUCAUGUAGUGGCAACUGUGAGUUUUUCUUCCAUUUUUUCUUUGUUGUUUUCUUUUCUUGUUCGUUCUAUUUCCUAAUUCUUCUCUUAAACAAUCCAUUUCCAUUCUUUUUGAAGACGUCUUUUGUAAGGUACUACGGUUGUUUAUUCCAUCUAUUGCCAACUCUUCCUCUAUUU
rnacentral:lncRNA from 1 species